rnacentral:rRNA from 1 species
UUGACUCGGAUCAGGUAGAAUACCCGCUGACUUAGCAUAACAAUAAGCGAGCAAAUCGCCUCUCAGAAGUUCUCUACGGAAUUGGGUUUCCAACGAAGAGUGUGAGGUUCGGGAUACUAUACAAUGAGAAUGAUAUGGAGUAUGUGGGACAGGAGGAAGCACAGCGCUGCGAGGGGGGGCUUAAUGACGUGAGUGUAGAGAAAAAGUGAUGGGUUCACACAGCUAAUAUAGAGUAGGGCGAAGGAGGGGGGAGAAUAAUAGUGGAAGAAUAGGGCAGGAUACGGGAAGGGAUACAGGCGUAGGUGUGAAUUGGAAACAAAAUUUUGAAGCGGGGGUCUACGAAGAUACGGGGCCAAUGGAUAAGUAAACCUGGAGUAUGCAUUUUCGGAGCAAGAAGAAGAUAAUAAGGGGGGGUACUUUGCCCCUCGGGGGGGACUGGGGGGACGG